rnacentral:tRNA from 1 species
GUCCACGUAGCUUACAUCAAAGCAUUGCACUGAAGAUGCUAAGACGGCUGCCCUAUGCCCGAGGACA